AACAAAAAUACGAAUCAAUAUAUAAUAAUGCAUCCAGUCCCAAUUUCCAUCACGUUUGAAAAGUGAGAUUAGAUUGAAUAAUUACAAUGUAAUUUUUGUUAUCAAAUCAAAUUAAAGAGAAUAUUGAAAAAACUAAAUCUAACAACUUGAAUGACCCCCACUACAACAUUUUGCAUUAUAUAUCACAUUUGAAAAUGACUUUUUUAAAAAAGUGUUAUUGUUUUAAACAACUAAGGCGGGAUCCAAUUACAUAUUCAACAUUGGGCUGUAAUAUAUAAUAUUUACUAUUGGCCUCUUUUACUGUAGAAACUAGAAAAGUAACGUGAUCUCCGAUUUCAUCUUCUCCGUCCUUACUAGCGGUCACUCUUCUGCUCUUCCGAUCAUAAUAUACCUCUUCCUCCAAUGCCGAUUUAUCCAAUUUCAUCUCCCUUUGGUGUCUCCUGUAGACCUCCGGCCUCCUCAGUCCGCCAGCCGGAUCGGCUGUUCUUGUCGUCGGACCAUUGUUGCGGUCGCAUCUCGGCAUUUCCUACUCCCUUGCACAGCUGCUGUCGCGACUAGUGUUGCUGUGGUCGUCUCUCUUCUUCAUUCACCAUCGCUCGUUGUCAAGAAAUUUAGCAUAAAAAAAACAGAGCACAGAGUCAUCCACUGUUGUGCAUAAGAUGGAAAGUGGUGAGCAAGUCACUUAGAAAAUAACUUCAAUGGAAAAGAAGAGGAAAAUCCCAAACGAGUUCCCUAAUCGAAGAUUUUGUGUUGACAGGAUUAUACUGGUGAAGAUGUCAAUGUUGAUAACUUUUUCGCGGCUAUCCUCGGAAAUAAAACUGCCAUCAAAGGGGGUAGUGGGAAGGUUGUAGAUAGUAGUCCAAAUGAUCAUAUCUUUGUCUACUACUCUGAUCAUGGUGGUCCUGGAGUUCUUGGAAUGCCUACUUAUCCUUACCUUUCUGCCGAUGAUCUGAAUGAAGUUUUAAAAUAGAAGCAUGCUUCAGGGACCUACGAAAGCUUGGUAUUUUAUCUUGAGGCUUGUGAAUCUGGAAGUAUCUUCGAAGGUAUUCUCCCUGAGGGUUUGAAUAUCUAUGCAACCACUGCUUCAAAUGCAGAGGAAAGCAGUUGGGGUACUUACUGCCCUGGAGAGUAUCCCAGUCCUCCGCCGGAAUACGAAACCUGUUUGGGCGACUUGUACAGUGUUGCUUGGAUGGAAGACAGUGACGUACACAAUCUGCGGACGGAAACUUUGCAUCAGCAGUAUGAACUGGUUAAGAAGAGCACAUCCAGUGACAAUUCUGCUUAUGGGUCUCAUGUGAUGCAAUAUGGGGAUAUUGGGAUUAGCAAAGACAGUCUCUUCAAUUAUAUUGGUACAAAUCCCGCAAAUGAAAAUGACUAAGUGAAUGUCCAAAGCUUUCUCAAAUAUUCCACCACUCUUCCAAACCUUUACGUGGUAGAGGGAUUUGAUUCAAUGGCUCUCACUUCAUGACCAUCACGGGUACCUGCAAAGCUAUUCUUAUGAUAUACUCCAUUGAUGUCGUAUUAGAAUUUUAAGGUCUAUGCUACUUUAUUCACUCCAAUCGUGCUAAGGAUUUCGUGGAUGACCAAGUGUAUUUGAUCGACUCCUGAGGAUGACCACUAGAGCGACUCCAAUACUAUAACGGACGAUAUCGAUGUCGCCGAAGUCAUAGGAGAUGAAGUGCAAAGAAGAAUGUCAUCCAUGACUAUUGGUGCUAUUGGUUCGUUGGUCGUGAAACAUGGAAGUUUUUUUAAAAUUUUAGCAAAAAGUCUUAGCUAGAAUUUUAUCAUGAUGACUUUGAUUCUCUAAACUCUACUUUUUGAAAGUUAUUCACUUCUUAAGUGAAACAUGUAUUUGGACCGAGUUAACUAAUAUGAUGGUAUUGACAUUUUUGUAAA